CCUACGGGAGGCAGCAGUGGGGAAUUUUGGACAAUGGGCGCAAGCCUGAUCCAGCCAUGCCGCGUGAGUGAAGAAGGCCUUCGGGUUGUAAAGCUCUUUCGGCCGGGAAGAAAUCGUGUUCUCUAACAUAGGACGUGGAUGACGGUACCG
rnacentral:rRNA from 1 species